CAUAGCGACUAUCGUGGCAUAUCAAUAAGCGGAGGAAAAGAAACUAACAAGGAUUCCCCUAGUAACGGCGAGUGAAGCGGGAAGAGCUCAAAUUUGAAAUCUUCAAGGGUUUCCCUUGACGAAUUGUAGUUUAAAGAAGUGUUUUCUGUUAGAGAGGUGGUAAAAGUUCUUUGGAAUAGGACAUCAUAGAGGGUGAGAAUCCCGUAUUUGAUCACUUUCUACUAACGUUGUGAUACACUUUCAAAGAGUCGGAUUGUUUGGGAAUGCAGUCCAAAAUGGGUGGUAAAUUUCAUCUAAAGCUAAAUAUUGGCGAGAGACCGAUAGCGAACAAGUACCGUGAGGGAAAGAUGAAAAGAACUUUGAAAAGAGAGUUAAACAGUACGUGAAAUUGUCAAAAGGGAAGCGUUUGACACCAGUGUUGUUUUUCCGAAAAGUCAAUUAUGAAUGGCUUGAUUUUAAGUUUCAUGACCUUAAAAGCUUGUUUCUUAUUUUUCAUGUCUUUCGUAAUGCACUUUUCGGUUAACAAGUCAACAUCAAUUUCUUUUGUUGUAAAAGGUUAAGAGGAAGGUGGCUUUACUUUCGGGUAAAGUGUUUAUAGCCUUUUAACUCUGCAAUCGGAGAGAUUGAGGUCUGCAGCGUAGAUCCUUCGGGGUUAGAUACAUUUGUGCUAAGUUAUAGCUUUUCAUAGACAACUUGUUGACUAUGUUAAGUCUUGUAAUUUACUCGCAGAUGCUAUUUUACCUACGCUUAGGAUGUUGAUAUGCAUGACUGAUAU
rnacentral:rRNA from 1 species